CAUCUGAGACAGGCCAAUACGCUUGUCAACAAAAUCCCUCAAAGAAAAAAAAAGAACAGAGCUGAAACCCUGGACAGAAACGUUUCAGACUUCAGUGAUGUCUAGAGCCUACUGAUGGUAUCCACCCUUGUUUACAGGGAUUGGGGGAGGUCUAUAGAGCAUGUUGUUGCUGUUGUUCCGAGACGCCAGAUUUGCGCAAGAACCUCCGGAGGGCUUCUUGGCUAUUCCCCUGCUGUUAGGGCCAGGCAUGUGACACUCCUGCUCUUCAUCUAAUGCUAGAUAGCUCCUCGAUGGCUUGAUCUUCUUGUAGGGGGUCUCUUUCUUGCGUAGAUCUUCCAGGCAUCUCACCUCAGACAUACACGCG
rnacentral:lncRNA from 1 species